rnacentral:rRNA from 1 species
AUUGAACGCUGGCGGCAGGCUUAACACAUGCAAGUCGAGCGGGGGAAGGUAGCUUGCUACCGGACCUAGCGGCGGACGGGUGAGUAAUGCUUAGGAAUCUGCCUAUUAGUGGGGGACAACAUCUCGAAAGGGAUGCUAAUACCGCAUACGUCCUACGGGAGAAAGCAGGGGAUCUUCGGACCUUGCGCUAAUAGAUGAGCCUAAGUCGGAUUAGCUAGUUGGUGGGGUAAAGGCCUACCAAGGCGACGAUCUGUAGCGGGACUGAGAGGAUGAUCCGCCACACUGGAACUGAGACACGGCCCAGACUCCUACGGGAGGCAGCAGUGGGGAAUAUUGGACAAUGGGGGGAACCCUGAUCCAGCCAUGCCGCGUGUGUGAAGAAGGCCUUAUGGUUGUAAAGCACUUUAAGCGAGGAGGAGGCUACUUUAGUUAAUACCUAGAGAUAGUGGACGUUACUCGCAGAAUAAGCACCGGCUAACUCUGU